UUUUUUUUUUUUUUUUUUUUUUUUUUUUUUUUAC
rnacentral:ribozyme from 1 species